UUUUUAUGAGAGUUUGAUCCUGGCUCAGGACGAACGCUGGCGGCGUGCCUAAUACAUGCAAGUCGAACGCUUCUUUUUCCAMCGGAGCUUGCUCCACCGGAAAAAGARGAGUGGCGAACGGGUGAGUAACACGUGGGUAACCUGCCCAUCAGAAGGGGAUAACACUUGGAAACAGGUGCUAAUACCGUAUAACAAUCRAAACCGCAUGGUUUUGAUUUGAAAGGCGCUUUCGGGUGUCGCUGAUGGAUGGACCCGCGGUGCAUUAGCUAGUUGGUGAGGUAACGGCUCACCAAGGCCACGAUGCAUAGCCGACCUGAGAGGGUGAUCGGCCACAUUGGGACUGAGACACGGCCCAAACUCCUACGGGAGGCAGCAGUAGGGAAUCUUCGGCAAUGGACGAAAGUCUGACCGAGCAACGCCGCGUGAGUGAAGAAGGUUUUCGGAUCGUAAAACUCUGUUGUUAGAGAAGAACAAGGAUGAGAGUAACUGUUCAUCCCUUGACGGUAUCUAACCAGAAAGCCACGGCUAACUACGUGCCAGCAGCCGCGGUAAUACGUAGGUGGCAAGCGUUGUCCGGAUUUAUUGGGCGUAAAGCGAGCGCAAGCGGUUUCUUAAGUCUGAUGUGAAAGCCCCCGGCUCAACCGGGGAGGGUCAUUGGAAACUGGGAGACUUGAGUGCAGAAGAGGAGAGUGGAAUUCCAUGUGUAGCGGUGAAAUGCGUAGAUAUAUGGAGGAACACCAGUGGCGAAGGCGGCUCUCUGGUCUGUAACUGACGCUGAGGCUCGAAAGCGUGGGGAGCAAACAGGAUUAGAUACCCUGGUAGUCCACGCCGUAAACGAUGAGUGCUAAGUGUUGGAGGGUUUCCGCCAUUCAGUGCUGCCGCUAACGCAUUAAGCACUCCGCCUGGGGAGUACUGCCGCAAGGUUGAAACUCAAAUGAAUUGACGGGGGCCCGCCCAAGUGUCUGCGUAUGUGGUUUAAUUCGAAGCAACGCGAAGAACCUUACCAGGUCUUGACCUCCUUUGACCACUCUAGA
rnacentral:rRNA from 1 species